rnacentral:lncRNA from 10 species
GAUGGGGUUUCACCAUGUUGCCCAGGCUGGUGUCAAAUCCCUGGGCUCAAGUAAUCUGCCCACCUCGACCUCCCAAAGUGCUGGGAUUGCCUGCGUGAGCCCCAUCCCCGGCCUGCUCAUUUCCUUCUAGUGCUGAAGAAUAUUCCGAUGUCUGGAUAGACCACAGUUUGUCUGUCCACUCACCUCUAGGCAGACAUCUUGGUUGCUUCCAGUUUUUAGUGACGGUGAAUAAAACUGCUCUAAACAUUCGUGUGCAGGUGUUGGUGUGAACAUAAGUUUUCAACUCAUUUAUCGAGUGGCUGCACCGUUUUGCAGUUCCGCCAGCAACGCAUGAGACUUCCUGUUGCCGCACGCCCACCCCGGCAUUUGGCGUUGUCAGUGUUUUGGAUUUUGGCCAUUCUUAC